GAUGAAGAACGCAGCGAAAUGCGAUAAGUAAUGUGAAUUGCAGAAUUCAGUGAAUCAUCGAAUCUUUGAACGCACAUUGCGCCCGCUAGUAUUCUGGCGGGCAUGCCUGUCCGAGCGUCAUUUCAACCAUCAAGCCCCCGGGCUUGUGUUGGGGACCUGCGGCUGCCCGCAGGCCCUGAAAACCAGUGGCGGGCUCGCUGUCACACCGAGCGUAGUAGCAAUCACCUCGCUCAGGGCGUGCUGCGGGUUCCGGCCGUUAAACAGCCUUACAAAACCCAAGGUUGACCUCGGAUCAGGUAGGAAGACCCGCUGAACUUAAGCAUAUCAAUAAGCGGAGGA
rnacentral:misc_RNA from 1 species